rnacentral:sRNA from 1 species
AUAAAUAGUUUUUUCUUACAUUAGUUUUAAAAUAAAUAUCUUAAAUAGUGUACUAAACCGAAAAUUAUAAUUGGGUUUUGCUUUUCUUUUCUUUCUCUGUACUAAAACGGUAUAUAUUAACAAUUUGGGUUUCAUUUUGUUUUUUCUAUUUUGUGAACCAAAUGAACUAGAAAAAUAAUAUUUUAAAAUAAAUCUCUAUUAGUAAGAAAAAGAAUUGAAUCAAUGUUGUAUAUAAUACCAUUUUUCUCUCUCUCUCCCUAUGUCUCUCCUGAUACAAUUUCUCUCUCGUUAACUCAUUCGCAACUCGUCUUCUCAUUCGUUUUCGCUCAGUGACUAUGGUUGAUCUUGCUUUUUUCUUUUUACCUGAAAUAAAAUCUCAAUCUGUCUCAGGAUUGAUACGAAAACAAUAUCGAAAAACAGAGGAAGAAAUGAUAGUUGGGUCUAACUUGAUGAUGUUCUUGGACGUUAACCAAGAUCGACUACAAGAAAACAUAGAGUUUUCCUACCAAUUUUCCUAUGAAAGUUUUGAUAGGGGGAGUUAUUUCCUACCAAAUUUCUAUGAAUUGGUUACGAAAUAUAUAUUUUAUAGGAAAUUUAAAAGAAAAUUCCUACAAAAUUAGUCGUCAGAAUUUCGUACGAAAAUCCUACAAAAUUUAUCAUCGUACGAAAUUGGAAGGAAAGUCAUGAGAAAAGAAUGUAGGAACGAUUUCUUUCCAAUUUCCCAUGAAUCCGUUAUCGUAGAAAAUUAAAAAAAAAAUCAUUAGAAAAAAAUAGUAAAAAAUUAGUAGAAAAUAAUUAUUAAAAAUAAUAUAUUAUUUAAUUACUCUACUAAAUUCCUACACUAAAAUAAUAUUAUUUAAUUAACCUAUUAAAUUCUUACGAAAAUUGUAAAACAUUGUUCUAUGCUUUAAU